rnacentral:snRNA from 1 species
AUUGCUUCUCAGCCUUUUGGCUAAGAUCAAGUGUAGUAUGUGUUCUUAUUAGAUUAUUAGGAACAUUAAAGAAAGGAAUAUCCAUCCUUU